UACAGAGGUCCCAAGCGUUGUUCGGAUUCAUUGGGCGUAAAGGGUGCGUAGGCGGUGGGGUAAGUUGGAUGUGAAAUCUUGGGGCUUAACCUCAAAAUUGCAUUCAAUACUGCUCCGCUCGAGUUCUGUAGAAGAGAUUGGAAUUUACGGUGUAGCAGUGAAAUGCGUAGAUAUCGUAAGGAACGCCAGUGGCGAAAGCGAAUCUCUGGGCAGCAACUGACGCUGAGGCACGAAGGCCAGGGGAGCAAACGGG
rnacentral:rRNA from 1 species